CAGUUCACCACAGGAAGAAUAAAAAAUUAAAAAAGUAAAAGAAAAUAAAACUGAUGAAUGGAUAAGGACACCUGGAGAGAGACAGGGUAAUUAUGGACACAAUUUCAUGAAGCUCUUUAUUCAUGCUGAGUCAGUCAGUGCUGGAAAUCAUGACUAUUGUGUGUGUUGUUACAGAGCUCAAUUUACUGCCAGCAAAACACAUUGGCCUUUUGAUACAAAAAAAGGCAACUGUCAGACUUUGUCCCGCGCUUUGUAUUGUGUUAAUUUGUCCCAAGUGUUUCCUAUGUUUCAUUAAUCCCAGGUGUUCCUCGUCCUCCCCUCAUCAAGUCCUGUAUAUUUAGUUAGUCCCAUUCUAAGUUUCUCUGUCAGCUGUUAAAUGUUUUCCUGUGUUUUCCCCAUUGCAAACUCCAUUAAAUUCCACGUAGAAGUGUUCUCCAGCGUCUCCUCGUCUGCCUUUUCCAGCGUAAUGUGACAAAACAGCCGCCCAAGACAGAAAGUAAAGUGGCGCCUGUUCUCCCCACGUUUAUUUUCAGUUUUUUGAAAAGUGUUUUGUUUUUCCUGCUCGAUCCAACGUGCUUAAAUGGAGGAACGAGGAAUGUUUAUCACAAUGGCUCAGGUGAGUCCAGACACCAUCAUCUUCGUGAGGGCAUUUGUGCCGCUCGCCUUCGCCAGCUCCCUCGAAGGAGAAACCCUUGUGACCCUAUUCUGGAUCGGCAUGACAUUCCAUCAUUUCACGGAGCUCCAAGACACCAACGCCCUCGACUUGAAGGUGACAGUCAUUCGGUGUCUGGAGAGUCUCCGACCCCAAUCUGGAACCCCUCCGCCAGCAGUUCCCGAGUCAAGUCAGCCGGCAAUUCCUGAGUCAAGCCCGCCGGAUGUUAAUGUGGCAAGCCCGCCAGACCUCCAUGUGGCACUCGCUCCGGUUCCCGCUCCACGUAAUCGCCCUCCAGAGCACCCUCAAAUGCCGGCUCCAGCCCCAAAACUCGCUCCAGUGCCAGCUCCUCGAAAGCAUUUUGCUGUGCCUGUUCCUCCAGAGUGCCCUCCAGGGCCAGCACCACGUAGUGGGGGGGUUGUAGGGCUCCAGCCAUAGAGGUGCCAUGGCGCCCCGAGUCCCCUGCUCCGCCAUGGCCUCCCGAGUCCCCUGAGCGGGUACCGCUCUGGAGGCCCACUGUCCCGUGUCUGUCCUGAGGGACCUUCAGAGCACCCCCAAAACCUGUUCCAGUGUAACGUGACCGCAAUAAAAGCUUAGCCCUUUAGUUUAGCCUUAUAAUGUGCAUGACAGUAUACACGUGUGUGUGUGUGUGUGUGUGUGUGUGUGUGUGUGUAUUAUUAUUAUUAUUUUAUAUAUAUAGAUGUUUUAAUGUUUUUGGAAAUCUCUUAUGCUCACCAAGACUCUGAAAAAUAAAUAUACUUAAAUGUAUUUGUAUUUUUGGCAUAGUAAACUGGUUUACAUAAAGUCUGCUAAAUGGAACACUUAGAAUAUUUAAAUUGAUUCAUAUAUUUAUUUUUAGCAGGGUGUAUGUAUGUAUUUUUUGAUAGAUUUAUUGCUUAUGCAAAUGCGGUGAAGAACAGUUUUAGGUUUAGUUUUGGCUUUAAUUAGAGUAGCAAUGGAUUGUGUGAAGAAAUGAAUUCAUGAAGCCAUAGGGUUGUUGUUGUUGUUGUUAUUGUUCCAUGCCACUUCCUCCCUGAUUCAUGUUAAUAGCAAAUGACUGAGUGCCUCGUCCUUGACAUCAGUCUGUAAUAUACAUCAACAAAACCACAGGCAGCCUGAGCUCUAGAGGCAGUCAUGUUUAUAAGUCACUAAAUAUUUACAGUCCAUAGACUAUAUAAAUACAAUACAUAAACUAAAUCCUGAUAGGCUGAAAGAAAAUAUCAGAGAUUAUAGUGAAUAUUUUUUGGAAUCUGGGUAUUGAGGAACCCUGGCAAAAAUUUUGCAGUUGUUGUUUGUUUUGAUAUUUUAGGCAGAAAGAAUAAAUUGAAGGUACACACUAUUGGGAGGCUUCUGGCGAUCACAGUGAAAGUGUUGCUGAUGAAUGAAAGGCGAUUGGUAUUUUUUCCCCCAAGUGGUUCUGCAGAGCUGACAGAAAAAAUACUGCCAACAGACAGAGCGAAUGAUGGGAAAUUCAUGUGCUGCUCUUCACACACAAAAGCAUCACAAAAAGCAUUUCAUGAACACAUGAUUCUUCCUUCAAGAGCCUAACCCUCACCCAAUUCUCUUGUAGCAAAAUAUGUGACAAAAAUACACAAGUGAGCACACCUGCCUGCACGUCUCCUUCAUAAAUGUCUCUUGUACACACAGCUUUUUUCUUUCUGCAUUACCCUUUUACCCAGUGUCACCUUUGCAGAAGGUUAAAUAGCGUUAUGGCCAAAGUGUAUACAAACCGAUUGGGUUUGAAAUAAGCAGGCACGACAAACAGGGCUGAAAAAAAGAAGGAAAAAAGAGAAAAAAGAGGGGGGUUGUAGGGGGGUUAAUAAACUGGAG
ensembl:lncRNA